rnacentral:rRNA from 1 species
UACGAAGGGGGCUAGCGUUGUUCGGAAUCACUGGGCGUAAAGGGCGCGUAGGCGGCCGAUCAAGUCGGGGGUGAAAGCCUGUGGCUCAACCACAGAAUUGCCUUCGAUACUGUUUGGCUUGAGACCGGAAGAGGUAAGUGGAACUGCGAGUGUAGAGGUGAAAUUCGUAGAUAUUCGCAAGAACACCAGUGGCGAAGGCGGCUCACUGGCCCGGUACUGACGCUGGGGUGCGAAAGCGUGGGGAGCAAACAGG